rnacentral:rRNA from 1 species
GUUCUUCGGAAUUAGUGAAAAGCGAACUGCUCAGUAACACGUAGCUAACCUACCCUUAAGUCAAGGAUAUUCUCGGGAAACUGAGGUUAAUACUUGAUAAGGAUAAAACCCUGGAAUGAUUUUAUCCUCAAGCUUAUGCUUAAGGAUGGGGCUGCGGUGGAUUAGGUUGUUGGCGGGGUAAUAGCCCACCAGGCCUGUGAUCUGUAAGGGCUCUUAGCGGAGAGGCCCUGAGAGGGAAUCUGAGACACUAUUCCCAGCCCUACGGGGUGCAGCAGUUAGGAAUAUUUUGCAAUGCGCGCAAGCGUGACAAAUUGAGCUAGAGUGCUUCUCAUUUGAGAAGCUUUUGUCGAAUGUAAAAAGUUCGACGAAUAAGGACUGGGUAAGACUAGUGCCAGCCGCCGCGGUAAUACUAGCGGUCCAAGUCGCAGCCAUUUUUAUUGGGUCUAAAACAUCCGUAGCUUGCUUGAUAAGUUUCUUGUGAAAUUUUGUAUCUCAAAUACAGAGCGUGCAAGAAAUACUGUCAAGCUAGAGACUGGAAGACGUAGGAAGUACGAUCAAAGUAGUGGUAAAAUACAUUAAUCUUGAACGGACUCACAAUAGCGAAGGCAUCCUACGAGGACAGUUCUGACAGUAAGGGAUGAAGGCUAGGGUCGCGAAACAGAUUAGAUACCUGUGUAGUCCUAGCAGUAAACACUGCACACUAAACAUUAGUACCUCUUCGAGAGGUAUUAGUGCUGAAGGGAAGCCGAAGAGUGUGCUACCUGGGAAGUAUAGUCGCAAGGCCGAAACUUAAAGGAAUUGGCGGGUGGACACUACAACGGGUGACGCGUGCGGUUCAAUUAGAUUCUACACCGUGAACCUCACUAGGACCGACAGCAGAAUGAAGGUCAGUCUAAAGGGCUUACCUGACACGCUGAGAGGAGUUGCAUGGCCGACGUCAGCCUGUGCUGUGAAGUGACCUGUUAAAUCAGGUAACAGGCAAGACCCACAUACAUAUUUACUACGUGUACAAUAUGUAGAUUGCCUUGGUAACAAGGAUGAAAGUGUGGGCUACGUUAGGUGAGUACAGCCCGAAUGCCCUAGGCAACACGCGCGCGUCAAUGGUGGAUACAAUGGGAUGCGACUCUGAAAAGAGAAGCUAAUCUCUUAAAAUCCAUCUCAGUCCAGAUUGAGGUUUGUAACUCAACCUCAUGACGCUGGAAUCCGUAGUAAUCGGGUGUCAUCAGCGCCCGGUG